GGUGCCAAAAAUUCAAAACCACUAGUCUCACAAUUUUCAGAACCUUUUUCAAUAUAAAAUGGACAGAUACCAAAGACUGUAUCACAAAGCAUGUCAUCACUACAAGAAAUAUCUGCAGUUGUUCCAAGAUCACCCCAGCCGUAAUUUUCUAUAGUUGAAAGUUUAAGUAGUGUGGUGUUGUCUACCUCAAGCUGCUUUACAAGAAAAGACAGGCAUUUCUCCCUUAAUAGGGCAGCAUCCUCUCUGGA
rnacentral:misc_RNA from 1 species